rnacentral:rRNA from 1 species
UACAGAGGGGGCAAGCGUUGUUCGGAAUUACUGGGAGUAAAGCGCACGUAGGUGGCGACGUAAGUCGGGUGUGAAAGCCCCGGGCUCAACCUGGGAAUUGCAUUCGAGACUGCAUUGCUGGAGUACGGAAGAGGAAGGCGGAAUUCCCGGUGUAGCGGUGAAAUGCGUAGAUAUCGGGAGGAACAUCAGUGGCGAAGGCGGCCUUCUGGUCCAGUACUGACACUCAAGUGCGAAAGCGUGGGGAGCAAACAGG